rnacentral:lncRNA from 1 species
ACAAGAUGGGAAGGGCUUCGGAAAUUACCUGGCCAAUAACAUUAGUCCCAUCUGGCAAAAAUCUAUGUAGUUUCACACAUAAUGCCUAUAUGGAGAAUGAACCGUCAUGAACAUCGACAGACAAGGUCGAAACUGGACAGCAACCAUUUUGUUGUUGCUCAUACUUGUGUAACCGGCAGGAAAAUUUUCAGUCAGUAUUUAAUUCACGAUUCGUGAUUACGGGUUUCGUUUGAUCGAAUUUCAAGUUUUGUGACCAACCUGAAAAAUACCCAGUAUCAUAAGCAGCAUGAAAAAUCGGCAGCUCUUCACAUUGUUCCUGCCAACUAUUCCACCAGGGCCUGGUUUCCGUGGUGCAAGUAACUUGUUUCCCUUUUGAGGACCCAGAUCAUCUCCAUCAACUAAUUGCCGAUGCCCUCGAAUCUUUCCUUCAAACGAGUCGGAAGGUUCUGCCUGUACCAUGCAAUACAGUGUAACGCUGGAUUCCAAAUCACGAAUUUUAGUCAACAGAUUUAUUAGCGGUAAAUCAAAUGCAAGAAAAUAAAUACAUAUAAUUGCAAAAAAA